CACCGCCCGUCACAUCACGAAAGUCAGUUGCUCUUGAAGUCACCGCGCUAACCGUAAGGAGGCAGGUGCCGACGGAGUGGCUGGCGAUUGGGGUG
rnacentral:rRNA from 1 species